rnacentral:rRNA from 1 species
AAUGCCACGGUGAAUACGUUCCCGGGCCUUGUACACACCGCCCGUCACACCAUGGGAGUGGGUUGCAAAAGAAGUAGGUAGCUUAACCUUCGGGAGGGCGCUUACCACUUUGUGAUUCAUGACUGGGUGAAGUCGUAACAAGGUAACCGUAGGGGAACCUGCGGUUGGAUCACCUCCUUA